CCCACCCAUGAGAAAGCAAAGUGUGCAUUUCUUUGAACAUGCUGUUUUGGGGCAACUUAGAAUUCUUUCUUUUUCUUAUGACAGCAGCAGGAAGGGUACCUAUAUGAGAAGGAGCUCCACAUGCCUCCAUGAAUGGCUAUCCACACCUGUCUUGGUGAUGCAGAGACCCUAUGCUUUCACUUUUGUCACUCGUACAGCCUUUUGGAGGGACAAUGUGCUGAGACCCCAGGAAAACUGCACAGUGCUUGAAGAAGAUACAUCAAAAAUCACUUUUGUUCUGAGAUCAGAUCAGGUGCAUCCAGGCUGGACUGCCUUGAGAGGACACUCUACCAGAAGAGAUGUGCCAGGACUACACUUAGUCUGCUCUAGUAGUGGAUAGGGAUUCAGCCUUCAGAUCUAGUGGUCCAAAGCAACCUGCCAACAAAUGGAGAAAUCACGUAUGCCAUGUCCUGAGCGUUGACUGAUCCAACCAGCACAGCUCUGCAGAGCCCUUCUAGCACAUCCCACCACUGGCUCACUCUGAUGGAACUUGCACAGCUGACCCAAUUCACUUAUCCCAGCCUGGUUGCUUUGACAGUCUCUUUGCCUUAGGAAGAACACUGCUUCUCUACACUUGCUUUCAGAGAAAGGCAAGCUGUUAUUCAUUAUUUCUAUUUCUUUUUCUUUUCCUGUUGUAAUUUUCGUCAAGUAGGUAUACCACCUAAAAGACAAAUGGGAAGAAGAAGGAAAUGGCCCAUUCUUUUACUGUUUAAAAUGUUGUUUCGUCUGUGUCACUUUAAUUCUAAAACAUGAGAUGCAAGGGUACAGAGAACACUGGUGUUUAUCUUGAAUCUCUGCCUUUGUUUUGAAUCAAAAACACAGCACCCAGGCCAAAGACAAUACUAAACAUCUACCGCUGAGGUCACUGAUCUGCAAUUUGUUGUGGUGACAGAUCCAAUAUUGUGCUUGGGGAACAGACUGGAUGGCUGUUAAUGCACUAUUAUAGGCACAGUUGGGAAAUUGGCUGAGCACCAGGUAACUGGAAGAACUGGAGCUUAUUACACAAGUCCAAGAGUGUUUUAACUUGUGGGUUGAUUGCUAACAUGGGGAGAGCUUUUAAAAUGUUAAUUGAUUUUUUUUCUUAAUAAUAACACAAACCAUCUGUAGCUUUGAACUUAAAUUUAACUUCUAUAAUUAAGUCAGAGCCUUCUACUACAAGAACUGUCAUACACCAAUCUUUUCAUACUAAUUUUGUUUCAGUUUGUCACAUCAUUUAAAGCCCUGGCCCACCAGAGCAAGGCUUUAAUUAACAGUAAAAUAGUUUUAAGGGAACCUCUGUAUGAAGCAUGAGGAAUUGAGUUUGGACCUGUUUGGAUAACACAGAUAAUUGACAUAGUAUUUUGUGUCUUACCAAUGUGUUUGUGGAAAGUAAGUUGUUACAUUUAUCUAUGGAUUAUCGAUGAUUAACUUUCUAGCCACUGCUUAAACCUCUUUUUUAAUGUGCAAAUUUCUCACAGCCACACACUAUACUGCAUUUGUCCAACUCUGAAAAGUCAAGACAUUAGCAACCCAUGCAACAACAAAUAAAAAUUACUGGGGAUGGGGCA
rnacentral:lncRNA from 1 species